CCGCCUGGGAAUACCGGGUGCUGUAGGCUUA
rnacentral:piRNA from 7 species